UUUUUUUUUUUUUUGGUUCUGCGUAAUUUAUUUAAAAGAUAACUGCCAAUUGCUUUUGCAAUUUUGUAGUUUAUAUGACAUCAUGCAGAGCUUAUCUCUGACCCCGUAGAUAGGAGAAAUCAACAAAAUAUCUAGAAAAUCUUCAAAUAAAAAUUUAGCCACACAUAUGCAGGCUUUUCAACUGUAAACUUAAAAAUUAAACCCUACAAUUGUAAAUCCCAUGGAAAAAAACAGAAGGUUUUUGCAACCUUGGGGGUAGGCAAGGAUCUCAUAGGACAUGAAAAGCCCUACUCAUAACAUUUAAAAAUGAUAAAUUGGUCUUCAUAAAAUUCUUCUCUCUGAUGGAAAGGAAAUGAAAGUGACCACGAGACAAGCCAGAGAUUGGCAGAAAACAUUCACAACCCAUUCAUCUGGCACAGGACUUGUAUCCAGAAUAUAUAAAGAAUUCCUAUAUAUCCAUAAUAAAAGACACAGAGUCUGGUAUAAAAAAUAGGCUAAAGACAAAAAUGGACACUACAAAUAGCCAAUAAGCACAUGUAAAAGUGCUCAACAUAAUUAGUAAUUAGAGAAACACAAAUUAAAACCACAAUGAGAUAUAAUUCUCAUGCACUUAGAAUGCUUAAAAUUUUUUCAGGACUGACCGCACCAAAUGUCAGCAGACAUGAAGCAGUUGCAACUCUCAUACUUUGCUGGUGGGAACUCACUAUUACUUCAAAAAGCUAAUAGGCAGCUACUUAUAAAGUCAAUAUUCACUUACAGUAUGACCUGGCCAUCUUUCUCCUAGGUAAUUUUCCAAGAGAAAAAACAUUUGUCCACAAAAUGACAUGUGCACGCUCUUUCCAGCUUUAUUCGUAAUACUCCAAAAUUGGAAAAAACUCAAGUGGCCAUGAACAGGUGAAUGAAUGCACAAAGUUUUGUAUAACCAUUGUCCUGUUGGUUACUUCUCGGCCAAUCCGAGGACAGACACAAGUCACAGCAGACCUUAAUGUGGGAGCCAUGGUGAGGAUGGGCUGAGAAUAAGCCUAGACAGAGACACUACAGCUGGGGGGACACGGUGAGGCCAGAGGUCAACACAGGAAGAGUAGGAGAGAGGAACUGUGCUUCCUUGUGAAGCUAGACCUCUUCUCUGAAUGCCACAGGGCAUACUGCUCCACUUUUGGCGCCUGGCCUGCAUCUUGGAAAAGGAAAAGGGGAAAAGAAACCUAGGACAGCAUCAGAAACCUAGACCACAUGCAGUCUAAAUUUUAAAACAAUAGAAAUCGAGAAAUCUCCAGUGGGUAGAGUGAAAUAUUUUGUUGCUACCAAUAGGAAAGGGGCCUUUAGUUUAAGAUGAGAU
rnacentral:lncRNA from 1 species